CAGAAGUGUGCCUUCACUUGCUCUCCAACUGUGGAUCUGGAUUCUCCACUGCCAGAAGUCAUGGAUGAAGGACCAUCCUCAGGGGGAGAUUUUCCUUAGUCUGGACCAAACCUUCCCAUUAUUGGACACAGAUGGUCAGCUAGUAAUCAAUCAUCUAUAAUUAUGCUUUGGAAAAACCUCAUGAGCAAAGACCCUCGACUUGUAGUCAAAGCUACAAUUUAUGUCAAGCAGCUCCAUUAGAUGUCUCAUUUCCCAGCCAUCAGGAGGAGGAAAGAGGGAAUGAAGAACAAGCUUCUUCCUGUGGGUGUGACCCAGAGGUUGUUCGUGUCACUUCUAUUCACAUUUGCUUGUGUAGAACUUACACAAUCAUACUUAACUUCAAGAAAGAUUGGGCAACAUAGUUUAUAGCGGGGAGGAUUUAUGCCCUGAAAUUGAUGGUGUCAUCUUUUCAUCUUCCCUCUCUCACCAUUAGCAUGUAAUCUGUAACUGAAUUUGAACAAUCCAACUUCCAAAUGAUUUCCAUUUUUCUCCAUAUUCCUAACAACACUUUAGUCUAAAGCGUCCUCAUCCUUGCCUAGUUUACUACAAUAACCUAAUUGGUCAGCGUGCUUCCAUUCUUGCCCCACCAAGUCAUUUCUGACACCGUGGCCGCUAAUUCUUAAGAAUAGAAACCAAAUCAUCACUCUUCUUUAAGGCCUUUAGUGUCUAUUUCCAUAGAAUAAAAUCCAUACCCUGCACCAUGAGCCGUAAGACCUGGCAAUGACCUGGCUCUAGUGUACCCAGUGCUAUCCUUGCACCAUGCUUUCCACCAGUCACUAUGUUCUGGCUUCUCUGGCCUCCACCUUUUUCUAGAACACAUUGAUCCUUUCCCCACCUCAGGCCCUUAUCCCUGCUAUUCUUCAUCCUGUAAAACUUUUGCUGGGAUCUCCGCGUGGCUGGCUCGCCCUCAUCUCUUGGCACUCAGCACAAAUGUCAUCUAUUUUGAGAAUCUUUCCUGACUGCCCUUUGUAAAGCAGCAUGUCUUGUUCCCAGUGACUCUUUAUUGCAUUACUUUAUUUAUUUUCUUCAUAGCAUUUAUUAAAUUAUAUAAUAAUCCUGUUUAUUUGAUUAUUUAAUUUUCUCCUUUCAUUAGAAAAUAAUCCUUAGGAGGGCAGUUUCUUUGGCUUAUCCUGAUUCUCAGACUCUGGCACAUAAAAGGAACUCAACAGAUUGCUAUUGAAUGAGUGAUUAAAUGAGUUAGGUACACUUUAUAUAUUUCUUACAAUAAGAAUCUGGUGCCCACUGUGGGAAAACCAGGUAAAAGGAACCUUACACAGAUUUGCCUCCACUAGCUUUACUU
rnacentral:lncRNA from 10 species